rnacentral:rRNA from 1 species
GAUGAACGCUGGCGGCGUGCUUAACACAUGCAAGUCGAACGGUGAAGCAGGAGCUUGCUCUCGUGGAUCAGUGGCGAACGGGUGAGUAACACGUGAGCAACCUGCCCCUGACUCUGGGAUAAGCGCUGGAAACGGCGUCUAAUACUGGAUAUGUGAUGUGACCGCAUGGUCUGCAUCUGGAAAGAAUUUCGGUUGGGGAUGGGCUCGCGGCCUAUCAGCUUGUUGGGGAGGUAAGGGCGCACCAAGGCGUCGACGGGUAGCCGGCCUGAGAGGGUGACCGGCCACACUGGGACUGAGACACGGCCCAGACUCCUACGGGAGGCAGCAGUGGGGAAUAUUGCACAAUGGGCGGAAGCCUGAUGCAGCAACGCCGCGUGAGGGAUGACGGCCUUCGGGUUGUAAACCUCUUUUAGCAGGGAGGAAGCGAAAGUGACGGUACCUGCAGAAAAAGCACCGGCUAACUACGUGCCAGCCGCCGCCGUAA